AUUGAACGCUGGCGGCAGGCCUAACACAUGCAAGUCGAGCGGAGCGGCGGCCGGGUGAGUAAUGCCUAGGAAUCUGCCUGGUAGUGGGGGCUAACGUCAGGAAACGGGCGCUAAUACCGCAUACUAUCAGAUGCGCCUGGGUCGGAUUAGCUAGUUGGUGGGGUAAAGACCUACCAAGGCGACGAUCCGUAACUGGUCGGAGAGGAUGAUCAGUCACACUGGAAGGAGGACACGGUCCGGGGUCCUACGUGGGGAAGCGUGGGGAAAUUUUGGACAAUGGGGGAAUGCCUGCUCCAACACUGCCGCGUGUGUGACGAGGGUCUUCGGAUUGUAAAGCACGUUAUUUUGGAAGGCGUUACCAACAGAGUAAGCACCGGCUAACUUCGUGCCAGCAGCCGCGGUAAUAC
rnacentral:rRNA from 1 species